AUUGAACGCUGGCGGCAGGCCUAACACAUGCAAGUCGAACGGUAACAGGAAACAGCUUGCUGUUUCGCUGACGAGUGGCGGACGGGUGAGUAAUGUCUGGGAAACUGCCUGAUGGAGGGGGAUAACUACUGGAAACGGUAGCUAAUACCGCAUAACGUCGCAAGACCAAAGAGGGGGACCUUCGGGCCUCUUGCCAUCGGAUGUGCCCAGAUGGGAUUAGCUAGUAGGUGGGGUAACGGCUCACCUAGGCGACGAUCCCUAGCUGGUCUGAGAGGAUGACCAGCCACACUGGAACUGAGACACGGUCCAGACUCCUACGGGAGGCAGCAGUGGGGAAUAUUGCACAAUGGGCGCAAGCCUGAUGCAGCCAUGCCGCGUGUAUGAAGAAGGCCUUCGGGUUGUAAAGUACUUUCAGCGGGGAGGAAGGGAGUAAAGUUAAUACCUUUGCUCAUUGACGUUACCCGCAGAAGAAGCACCGGCUAACUCCGUGCCAGCAGCCGCGGUAAUACGGAGGGUGCAAGCGUUAAUCGGAAUUACUGGGCGUAAAGCGCACGCAGGCGGUUUGUUAAGUCAGAUGUGAAAUCCCCGGGCUCAACCUGGGAACUGCAUCUGAUACUGGCAAGCUUGAGUCUCGUAGAGGGGGGUAGAAUUCCAGGUGUAGCGGUGAAAUGCGUAGAGAUCUGGAGGAAUACCGGUGGCGAAGGCGGCCCCCUGGACGAAGACUGACGCUCAGGUGCGAAAGCGUGGGGAGCAAACAGG
rnacentral:rRNA from 1 species